rnacentral:rRNA from 1 species
UACGGGGGGGGCAAGCGUUGUUCGGAAUUACUGGGCGUAAAGGGCCAGUAGGCGGCCAACUAAGUCCGACGUGAAAUCCCAAGGCUUAACCUUGGAACUGCGUCGGAUACUGGAUGGCUUGAAUUCGGGAGAGGGAUGCAGAAUUCCAGGUGUAGCGGUGAAAUGCGUAGAUAUGUGGAGGAACACCGAUGGCGAAGGCAGCCCCCUGGGUUAACACUGACGCUCAUGCACGAAAGCGUGGGGAGCAAACAGG